rnacentral:rRNA from 1 species
AGUGAACGCUGGCGGUAGGCCUAACACAUGCAAGUCGAACGGCAGCACAGUAAGAGCUUGCUCUUACGGGUGGCGAGUGGCGGACGGGUGAGGAAUACAUCGGAAUCUACUUUUUCGUGGGGGAUAACGUAGGGAAACUUACGCUAAUACCGCAUACGACCUACGGGUGAAAGCAGGGGAUCUUCGGACCUUGCGCGAUUGAAUGAGCCGAUGUCGAAUUAGCUAGAUGGCGGGGUAAAGGCCCACCAAGGCGACGAUCCGUAGCUGGUCUGAGAGGAUGAUCAGCCACACUGGAACUGAGACACGGUCCAGACUCCUACGGGAGGCAGCAGUGGGGAAUAUUGGACAAUGGGCGCAAGCCUGAUCCAGCCAUACCGCGUGGGUGAAGAAGGCCUUCGGGUUGUAAAGCCCUUUUGUUGGGAAAGAAAAGCAGCAGGUUAAUACCACGCUGUUCUGACGGUACCCAAAGAAUAAGCACCGGCUAACUUCGUG